GCGGCGGCGCGGCUGGCUCGGUGGCGGGCGGGCGGGCGCCAUGGGGCUGUGAGCCGGCCGGGCAGCGCCCAGGCCUCGCGCCCGCCAUGCCAGGCAAAGCCCAGCAUUUCCAGGGUCCCCAGGUCAGCUGCUGCGCCAAGUACCUGCUCUUCGCCUCCAAUGUGCUCUUCUGGUUGCUGGGGGCUGCCUUCCUGGCCAUUGGUCUGUGGGCCUGGGCAGAAAAGGGUGUCCUUUCCAAUCUCUCAUCCAUCACAGACCUGGGUGGCUUUGACCCCGUGUGGCUUUUCCUCGUGGUUGGAGGGGUGAUGUUCGUGUUGGGCUUUGCUGGUUGCAUUGGGGCCUUGAGGGAGAAUACGUUCCUGCUCAAAUUUUUUUCUGUUUUCCUGGGUCUCAUAUUUUUCCUGGAGUUGACAGCUGGUGUCUUGGCCUUCAUCUUCAAAGACUGGAUCAAAGACCAGCUCAACUUCUUCAUCAACAACAACGUCAAGGCCUACCGCGAUGAUAUUGACCUGCAGAACCUCAUUGACUUUGCUCAGGAAUAUUGGUCUUGCUGUGGGGCUCGUGGACCUAACGACUGGAACCUCAACAUUUAUUUCAAUUGCACUGACUCCAACCCCAGCAGGGAACGCUGUGGGGUGCCCUUUUCCUGCUGUGUCAAGGAUCCUGCGGAGGAUGUUCUCAACACACAGUGUGGCUAUGAUGUCCGCCUUAAACUGGAGCUGGAGCAGCAGAGCUUUAUCCAUACCAAGGGAUGUGCUGGCCAGUUUGAGAAAUGGCUCCAGGACAAUCUCAUUGUAGUGGCAGGGACAUUUGUUGGCGUUGCACUGCUCCAGAUGCAGCAUGCACUCGCAUGCCUUGCAAGAUGGAUCUUCUGAAGAUUGCCAGCCACAUGCUUGUGAAGCUGCUGAGAGAAUGUUGGGCCUACUCAUAAAUGUGUCAUCCACUCAGUCUUAUGAAGUGACUGCAAAUCCCACCUUUCAUUACCUAUCCACCCAUGAACCUGUCCCUUUAUCCCAUGACUGCUAAGUUUACUCAAGAGCCUUUGGUGGGGAAUUUUGUCAAAAGCUUUUUGGAAGUCCAAGUAUACUCUUGUCAACUGGAUCACCUUUAUCCACAUGCCUGUUGACACUCUCAAGGAACUCCAAAAGAUCUUCGGUAUUUGCCUGGCACAGAACCUAGUGAGCGACAUCAAUGCUGUGAAGGCCAAUUGGUGAUAUCCGAGCGGGGCCUGUGCUCUCUUCCGCAGACUCUCAGUGCCACUGCAAGACUGAAGCCACAGUCCCGGCUGCAACCAUUGGGGGCUGCUGUGCCACCUGCUAGCUGGGUGUCUGUGUGCAUGUGUGGCGCCAGGGGUACUCGUAUGAACGGCUGCCUGGUGCCCCUCCAUCGCUUUCUUUCCUUGGUUGGAGCAGUCCUACCAUAUGAGUUGUGGGUGGUCCUGUAAAUAGUAUUUAUAUAGGGCAUCCUGGGCAGGGUUCCCUCUCCUGCCACUGCGAGAUCUCUGGAGCCAGAGGGCCUGUUGCACCUGCAGGCCAAAUGAGAGAGGCAGCUCUGGAGUGGGCCAGUUGCCACAGGAACCCCCUGGUGCUGGGGCGUGGCCCCUGUGGCUUCCCAUUCGGGAGCUGGCUGCAACCGGAGCCCUGUCCCUGCUGCCUGGUGCAGCCCCCACACUCCUGCCCUCCUCCGAGCCCCGACUUGAUUGUCCCGAGCUCCUUUCCCCCACGGGCUCAGGUCUCGUCUCUGCUGGGGGACUGGGUUAGGGAGACACGAGCUUGGGCUCCCCUGUGCAGGCUAGACCCCAUGCCAGGGGCUGACCUGGGCCACGUGGCUCUGCUCUCGGCUCCUUCUCCUGGGAACAAGCAGGAAGGGGGAUGUGGGGGCAAGAUGCUGCUGGUGUCCCUCAUUUGCCACCGUGACCCUCCGCCCUGCCUGCUCUGGUUCCCCAAAGGGGCAGGCAGAGCCCCAGUUCUACAGCUAUGCACAGGCGGUAUAGAGUGGAGUGUGCCCAAGGAAGACCACACGUGGGCCCAGCCAUCCGAGAGGGAGAGGGGGGAGAAAUCUGCCUAAAACCCAUGUUGGAUUAAACGAAAACCAAUCUGGCCAUGCAAGGAAAAACGGGAAUGACUGAGCAUAGGGUCAUGCUCCUUUGUGUAUUAGGGAGGGGGAGAGAGAGAGAGAGAAACUGUGAAAGAGUUUCCAACUAGAAAGAGACUAUGGGGGAGGGAGCACCCCUUCGCUUGUAUGACAAAUAUGCAGCCCCUUGUGUGCCGCCGCCCCCCCCCCCGCCUUUCAUGUUUUGCUCGAAGGGGGCCGUGGGGUACUCUCAACUCCGCCCGCACCAGGUUUUGGCCCUGACUGAGUAAAGUGCUGUGUCCUUUCCUUGAGCUGCCCUUUGGCUCCAUAGGACACUCGUGCUUAACAAACCGGCAGGUGGUGGUGCUGAGAGGGUAUUGGCACCUGGCAGGGAAAGGUUUCUGCAUUCAGGUGCUCAUCUGUGUUGCUGUGCUCUCAGUUCUACCCCACCCACCACCCACCCCUCUCUCUCUCUCGGAUGGGAUUUCUCCCUCAUCCCCUGGACUCUGCUGCUAACAGAACUGAUCAGCUCAUCUGGGGUUCUGUUGACCUUCUGUACCCAAUAAAGCAACCCCUACCAA